rnacentral:lncRNA from 1 species
ACAUUCAGUGGUGUUAGUGUAAGCUCAUUGCAUUUUUUUUCUGUUGUUGAAAUUGAAAUUCACGGAAUUGCAACGUUAUACCGUUAGGCCACUAAAAUUUCAAUAUACUGAUUGUCUAUUUUCACCAUGUUUCGACCCUCACUUUUUAAGCUGUGAAAAUCUUUAUAAGAUCAAUUAACAUACAUGUUAAAAAAUAAGCAUUAAAAUUUGCUUUUUACCAUGACUAUGAUAUAAACAAAAUCUUACUGAACAUUAUCCAUCACCGAAAAUACAUUAUAAUAAAUUAAAACUUAAGAACAUACAUUGAAAGUUAAGGCUCAUUCUAAGAAUAGCCAAUUCUGCAGUGAGAAAAAACAAAACACCAAUCUUGCUUAACCGAUACCUUAAACCAAUAUUUCAACAAAAAUACAUGCAUCAAUUAACCAUUAAACUCAAACAAGUUGUAACCUCAAAAUAUCGACGCAACAAGAGGUGUUCAAAUUGAAUACGGCAUAACCAAACCAACUCAGUAUGAUCUUGAAUCAAAAAUUUUAAUUACAACAUAAAUUAAUUAUGUGAAGACAAAACAACUUCAAGCAGAAAUUCUGAAUUGAGAAUAUUACCCCAUGAGAUGUGUACACGGUGGUUAUUCUUGUGCGGUUAGAAAUGGAAUGGACUCUGACGAUGUCGUAAUCAGUUCAAAAUUGAAUAUAGAUCCUGAAUCGAACCCGCAACGAUUGUGAGCGGCAAUGAGCUACAAAAAAAUCAAACAGACAAAAACCCAAUCGCAUUAAAGCAAAAAAAAAAAGAAGAAGAAAACAAGGUUCCAUUGUUGUUUGAUGCUUCCGCUUCAUUGUUGUUGAGAAUCACCGCCGAGUUGGCGUUGUAGCUUCGGUAGAAACAGAUCUGGAGCAUUGUUUCUCAAACGUUUUUCUUCUCCUGGAAAAAGUAACUUCGAUGCUAGAACCUGCAACAGAUCUAAACAGAAAACUUAUCACAAGCUUAAUCUAAUCGAAACGUAAUCAGAGUGGAAAUCGGAAUUAAGACGUAUCAGAGUUGGUAAUUGCGGCGAGGCUAUGAGUAGUUGAUGAAAGGUGUGUUUGGGUGAGGAGAUUUCAUAGCGAUAAUCAUGGCGGAGGUUGGUGACGGUCGGAAGGUGAGUUGAUGAAGGUGAAUGGGUUUGUAAUGUUGAAAACGGUAAACGGCGAGGGUUUGGUUUGUUAGUGGAGGUGGGUGAUAGUGAGGUGAGUGAGAGAGAUUUCUUCUUUUUCCUUCUUUUAUUAUUUUAUCGUGAACGUGAAUCCACCUUUCUCCUUUUCACUUUCUAUUUCAUUUUUUUCUAUCUUUGGAGGAGAGAGCAUCAGUUAAUAUGUAAGUGGCCCAUGGAAACGUAUGCCUCCCUUUUUUAAUAUUAUUUUUGUUACCGUUGGAAAGGAGUGAUAGGACCAUUUGCCAAGCCUGUACCAUUCACAAGAAGAUAAGAUUGUCACGUGGCACCUGGCAAUUGGAUUGAAAGAGAUAUUUUUUAAUAUUUUCUAAUUUUCUAUUUAACUAUUUAUUUAAAUUUCUAUUUUAUGAUUGGAUAUUGGAAAUGAGUAUGGAUUGCUAACAUGGGCCUUUGAUUAAUUUGAAUCAACGAUUCAGAUUGAAUCAAAGAAACACAUCCUAAUUAAAUAAAUCAAAAUACAUAUAAUGCCUUUUUUUNNNNNNNNNNNNNNNNNNNNNNNNNNNNNNNNNNNNNNNNNNNNNNNNNNNNNNNNNNNNNNNNNNNNNNNNNNNNNNNNNNNNNNNNNNNNNNNNNNNNNNNNNNNNNNNNNNNNNNNNNNNNNNNNNNNNNNNNNNNNNNNNNNNNNNNNNNNNNNNNNNNNNNNNNNNNNNNNNNNNNNNNNNNNNNNNNNNNNNNNNNNNNNNNNNNNNNNNNNNNNNNNNNNNNNNNNNNNNNNNNNNNNNNNNNNNNNNNNNNNNNNNNNNNNNNNNNNNNNNNNNNNNNNNNNNNNNNNNNNNNNNNNNNNNNNNNNNNNNNNNNNNNNNNNNNNNNNNNNNNNNNNNNNNNNNNNNNNNNNNNNNNNNNNNNNNNNNNNNNNNNNNNNNNNNNNNNNNNNNNNNNNNNNNNNNNNNNNNNNNNNNNNNNNNNNNNNNNNNNNNNNNNNNNNNNNNNNNNNNNNNNNNNNNNNNNNNNNNNNNNNNNNNNNNNNNNNNNNNNNNNNNNNNNNNNNNNNNNNNNNNNNNNNNNNNNNNNNNNNNNNNNNNNNNNNNNNNNNNNNNNNNNNNNNNNNNNNNNNNNNNNNNNNNNNNNNNNNNNNNNNNNNNNNNNNNNNNNNNNNNAAAAAUGAGAAGAUAUUUUUGUUAUUCUUAUUUUUUCUAAUAAUUAUUUGAAGCUUAAUUUUAAUUGGCCAAAUUGGAAUGGACAAGGAUUGCAAAUGUUGAUCAUUGAUUAACUCUGAUCCAAUGAUCAUGGUUAACUCAAAGAAACACAUAAAGAAACACAAAUGAUUGAAUACUUUCAAAUGCUUAAAAUGUUCUUUCUAGAUGAUUAAAUUUAUUUAAAACAAUUUAAAUCAAAUAAAUAAUUCCAACUUCAAAAAUAAGUAUGAUAAAAAUAAGGACAUGAAAUUCUAUUUAUUUUUUCUGAAUAUUUUGGCGAAAGAACAAAAUUAAAAACGGCUAAAACUGAAUAAAUGUCGGGCGAAAAUUUGCUUGAAAAAUCAAAUCGGAUGCACUAAAAUGAUCAGCAUAAAAUACACUUAUUGAAAAAAUACAGCAUUUCUUUAAAUUUUGAAAUAAAUUUUCAUCGGUUAAAAGGCUCAGACGGGUCAAAAGGCAACUGAAACAGACGCUGAAAAAUACAACGAGCACACCAGGUUAAACUACAUGAACUGCAGAUUAAUAAUACCGGCAUCGGCAAUUUUAAUUUCGAAACUUUUUAUCUACUGAUUUUUGUCCGUGCUUGAGGAAAGAUUCAACCGAUUUAUCUGUAUUUUCAAUAAAUUUAUUCUGACUGAUAUUUUAGUUAUUAUUCAUGAUGGAAUGCAUGUCAUGCUGUGCAUAUAAUGCAAAUUAAAAAAUGAAAUCGAUUUUUAAAAAAAAUUAAAUAUGCCCGGACAAAAUUGGGGUAUGACACCCUACAACAACUUCAUUCAUCUUCAUUUUACUUCUCCCCCUUCGACAACAUAAAAAAAAGUAAAGCAAACAAUGAGAAGAAACUAAAACCACACAUAAACGAAUAUAACACACAUAGGUGUUUUGCAAAGAUAAGAAUAUCAAUAUGAUAGCACUCACAUAGAGAAAUUUUCAUAUUUAAAUGAGAUAUGUAAACAUAAAUACAAGAUAAUAAUGCAACAAUAGAAAAAAUUGCCACAACUUAUGCCACAUAAACACAACACAAUCAUGAAAAAUGAAGUAUACAAAGUGAACACAAAAUAAUUGACAUGCUACAAAGAAUGACAUGAUUAUGUGACAUAUGCCUUUGGUGCUCUCGAAAUGCUGCACACGCAUGUGCUCUAGCAAGGCGAUAAACAAAGUACCACCUGUAAGACCCCAAUUUUGAUCUUACGAUCCCUCAUGCUAUCUCAUCAUAUGCAUUGGCUUUGAGAUCACACCUUGGCAUCCUCCUUACCCCCCAUUCAUUGAGUUUGCAUUGGGAGAGAUCACCAAGCACAUUUGAUUGUAUCAUACUUUUUUUCCAUGUUUACUAAACCAAAUACCAAAAAAUAUGUCAAUGUAUAGUUUUACUUCUUUUGUAGGUAGUAUGUGCAUCCACCCAUGCUCAUCAAGCUCAUAUCUAGGGUUUGAGACCCUCAAUGCAAGGAGACUAAUCAAGAGAUAGUUCACAAUGAUUCUAGAAGUCAUAUAUGGGUCCCCAUGAUCUUCAUUUAUCAUUUUGAUCAAGAAUUCAUCAAGAGUUUGAAGCUUGUUUGCCUUGGAAGUCCUAAUUCAUCUGGGUAUCUUGUGUGACUUCUUCAACAAGGUUUUUCAACAUUUGAUCAAGCAUUUCAAGUUAUACUUCAUAUUACAUCAUAUUAUGCAUAUAUGAUCCUCCAUGAGUCCCAAAUACCAAGAGAAUUUCAAGUUUGCAAGAUGGUUCAUGGUGGUUGACCAUAGAAAGUCAACUGGUCAAAACUGGGGUUCCCUAGACCCUAUCUCCUACAUUUUUUCUCAUAUGAAAAUGAUUCCAAGAGAAACUUUACUCUUUAUGACAUUCCAAGUAACUUUCAUGUUUAAGUCAAAAGCUAGUUUUGCUUGGAAAGUCACUUUUUAUGGUGAAAGAUUAUAGGUCAUUUUGUCUGAACCCUAGCUAGGAGGUCAACUUCUAAGGACCAUAAUGUGCUCAAUUUUUAUGAGAUGAAAUUUAUUCAAGUUUCAUUAUCAAAUUCAAGAUUUCCUAUCCAACUUUUAUUCUUGUAAGAAGUUCAAAUUCAACUUGCAAAUGCAUGUGCCAAGCGGAAACAUUAUAGGUCAUUUUGGGCCAUCACCAUUGAACAAGUGAUUUUCCUCAAUUUCUAAAAUACAUAACUCUUUCAUGCCAAAUCCAAAUGAGGUAAAACUUGUGACCAAAUUGAAGAGUUUUGAAAGAUAUACAACUAUUAUGAAGGAAUGUUUUCCAUUUGAAGCCCAUAACAAAAAGCUAUUUAAGGAGGAAGAAGUGAACAUUUGACUUGGUACUUAGAAAAUUUUCAAAUAUGUUUGAUUUUCCAAACUUCCACCCCAAAAUCCAUCAUGAUCCAAGCUUCAAAUGGAAAAGGGUUCAACACUAAAUUUGUUCGCCUUGAUCUCACCUUUCUAAAAAGUCAAAGAUCAUCUCAUUUGCCUAAGAAUUGGAGGACUUGCCCAUGGGUUCUUUUCAAAGGUUCAUUUGGAUGAAUUUCACAUUCACAUUUCAAUCUCCUUUGCAUGACCACAUGACAUGACUUCAGCAUUGCACAUGAGUGAUUUUUGACCUGAUAGCAUCAUCUAUUACGUUCCCAUGCAAGCUUGCCUAUUUUUGGUCAAUUUUGGAAGUGUGUGGAAAUCAAACGCAUUGCCUAUAAAUAAGACCCUCAUGGCUCAGAAUUAAGGACCUCAUGCCCAAGCUUUGAACCUGCAAUCCAAACCCUCAUCAUUAAAGGAUAAUCUUGAAGGUUUUCAUUUGAAAAUCGAGCUUCAAAUCUCUUUCUGUUUUGAUAUUGAAACUCCAAGAGUCCAAGUUAUUCCUUGAUCCAAUUCAACUCCUACAAGCUUCUGAAGUCAAGCCAAGGUCAAUUGGAAGCAAGAUCAAGCAAGUUUGAAGCUCACUCGAAGGUGAUUUUCUAGAAUUUUCAUCUCUUCGAUUCUCUCUCAAUUAUUCACUAUUCUUUAUGAUUUUUGGUUGGUUGAAGUCCUACAAAUGUAGGAAACAAGAUUGAGUUGCUUUGAUGGCAAAUCGAAGCAACUCAGUUCAUGAUCCUUAAAAUUCAAAUCCCUGUAUCUUUUUAUAUACUUGGAAUUGGAGAAAAUUGAGGAAAAAUUCGUGAUCCUAGGCAUUUUCUGUUUGAAAUAAUGUCCUUGUUUUUCAUUUUCCAUUGAGAUGAAGUUGGACCAGUCUGGUGAAGGUCACCAGAGAAGGUGACCUCAUGCCCAAGCUUUAAACCUGCAAUCCAAAUCCUCACCAUUAAAAGAUAAUCUUGAAUUUUUUCAUUUUAAAAUCGAGCUUCAAAUCUCUUUCUGUUUUGAGAUUGAAACUCCAAGAGUACAAGAUUUUCCUUGAUCCAAUUCAACUCCUACAAGCUUUUGAAGCCAAGCCAAGGCCAAUUGGAAGCAAGUUUGAAGCUCACUCGAAGGUGAUUUUCCAGAAUUUUCAUCUCUUCGAUUCUCUCUCAAUUCUUCACUAUUCUUUAUGAUUUUUGGUUGACUGAAGUCCUACCAAUGUAGGCAACAAGAUUGAGUUGCUUUGAGGUCAAAUUGAAGCAACUCAGUUCAUGAUCCUCAAAAUCCAAAUCCCUGUAUCUUUUUAUGUACUUAGAAUUUGAGAAAAUUGAGGCCAGAUUCGUGAUCCUUGGGCAUUUUCUCAUUGAGAUGAAGUUGGACCAGUUCGGUGAAGGUCACUGGAGAAGAUGAUCGGAGCCCUACCUCCGGUGGUAUGUUGUCACACUUCCUAGCCAUCUGAUCAAGCUUGGAUGUUCUAAUAUGGACCGUUGUAUCUGAUUACCACGUGUACAUUGCAUUGACCAAGGUCCACCAUGGAACACGCGCGUGUGGCCAUCAGAUAUGCCACCUCAAUUAAUGAGGGAGAUCUGAUGGCCCUUGUUUUUUUUAAUUUUUAUUUAAAUUUCCGAUUUUAUGUUCAAUCCUUUUAUUUUGUUUAAUUUAUAAUAAUUUCAUUUUUAAUCCAAAAAAUAUGGGACUUUCACCAAACAUCUUUAAAUACUUUUCUCUUUCAUAUUCCGAAUUAAAAUUAUUUUUUGGAUUAAUUUUGAUAUUUUUCAUGAAUUAAAUGUUUUUAUGCAUAUUUUUAAUUAUUUAAAAAUACUUUUGACUUUUCAAAAAACAUGGAAUUUUUUGUCUAAGAUCCUUUGACCUUGUUUGACCUAGGAUAAAUCUCUUGGCCAUUUAUUUGGUAUUUGAAUAGAUUUUAGGUUUUGACCUAAUUAAAAUCUAUUUUAAUUCAUUUUUAAAUUGAUUUUUAAUUGAUGAAAUGUGUAAAAAUCAUGUUGAGCCAUUUUUAUGGUCUUGUGAUAUUUGACUAUUUGUUUGGGCCUUGGUCAAGGUUGAUUUGACUUUUGUUGGAUUAAAACCAUUGGAUUUAGGGGAUUGAUGAAACGUACAUUUCAUCUCCCAAAAUGAAUGAAUGGUUUUAAUUUGAUAAAAUCCUCCCUUGAUCAAUUUGUGUUUCUAUCUUCCCCUCCCUCUUCAUAUUCAUCCCUAUUCUUUCCCAUUCCCUCAUUUGACCAAUGGAAUCUCCAAUGUCUUAAGGCUAAUUGGUUCAUGAAUGACCUUGUGUCAGAUGAACCAAUACACGUAUGACUGAGAUAGGUCCAUCCCUCUUGAUCUUUUCUUUAAGUGUGUGGUAUGUUUUAGAAGUUUGGUUCAUUAUACCAAAUCUUUAACAUGCAUUAACACCUAAAUUUCUAUUGCCCGACCACAGAUAGUUGUGACUUCUACAUAAGUCUAAUUACGAUUGCUUAACAUAUAGCUAAAUUUGACCCUAAAGGCAUAUCAUUCUAGUAAGUGAGAUUGUAAGUCUCCCAUUCUUCAUGGUAUUGUAUGGAAACUUGGCCUUUUUUCCUUUCAUGAGAGCCAGUGGCAUACUUGUUGAAUUAUCCAAGUUGGAGCCAUCUCAUGGAAGAUGUAUUGGUUUAAGGAUCCAUACUUGUGAAUGGAUGGUCGAGUGUUCUCCAAAGAAUGACUUAAUCAAUUAAAAAUUAUCACUAACAGUUGACUAACCUUUGACUAACAUUUGACUAACUCUUGUUAAUAUUGCUUUACUUUCUAGUCAUUUACUUUUAUGCAAUUUAAUUUUCAGUCAUUUAUCAUUCAUUUCCAUUUACAUUCCAUCUAACUUGUUUACGUUUAUGUCAUUUUCACUUUGCUCAUUUGAGCCAUAUCUUGUGAUUGUAUAUAUUGUUUGUGCAUUUUGGUUUUGUUUGUGGUCUUAGGACCUUAAAAUACUUAAUAACAACAAAAGACCCUAAAAAAUGUUUGGUGGACUAUUGAACUUGAUCUGGACUCUUGGACUUAGGAUUAGGACACAUUCCCUGUAUAAAAAGGACUUGGCCAAUGCCAACAUUUCUGAGACUGAGUUAUUGUGAACUAAGCCUUCAUCUGAUGCAAGCCUUGGACCAUGUUUGAAUUCAUCUGCUACUUUGUCUUGAUGCUAAUUGUCAUUUUGAUCUUGUGUCUGACGCUUUAUUUUGAGUUGAUCAAGGAAUAUUUCAUAUGAUACAUGAGAAGACAAAGAAGACUACUAGCUAUGGGAAUUACUUACUUGGAUGUGGCCAUCUUUAUUUGAUGUCUUUAUCUUCUUGAUGUUUGGAUAUUGCAAAUUUAUCCUUGAUUAUUGCUUGAUUCAAAGUCCAAAAUGAAAGUGGGUUUUCUAUAUGACAUUCUUGUCUGUUGGAUUGCAUCCCAUUUGUCAGAUCUUUUCAACUCUUAACUUUUAAUUUGUGCUUAGGGUAGCCUCUUCAUCUUCUCCCACUUCUUAAAUUUCAAAAUCUCUCCCCCUUUUCAAAAACUUUAUUUGCUUGUGAUUUCAAACUUAGACCUUAUUUUAAAUAGAAACUUUGGCCUUAUGCCAUUGAAUUUUCAAACACUUUUCUUAAAUCAAACUUGUAAAUAAACUUAAUUAUAUUGACUUAAAAUUUCAAAAGACAAAAAGAACUAACAACUUAAUUCAAAUUUUUGCCCUUUUGUGCCUUUUUUCAUUUAAAACUUUUGAUUAAAAGCAAUUCACCAACUUUGAAAUUGUUACCACAAACUACGAGGUUUUGAUCCCUUAUUUUUAUGUUGGUACAUAGGCACAAGUCCGAAGGUCUUGUCAAACACAAAAAUAUAAUUAAUGAAUUCUUUACUCAUCCCUACACUCUAUUUUUCUCAAACAUCAUUUAUACCAAAAACACAUGCACACAUAAAAAAGGGCCCCCUAAGAGUACCUAAGACACUUUGGAUGCUAACACUUUUCCUCUGUGUAACCAACCCCCUUACCUGUAAUCUUUGGCAUUUUAUUAGUUUUGAUUUGAAAACUUCUUAUCUUUGGGUUUUGUUCCUACUUUUCCCUUUUCCUUUGGAAAUGAUAAAAGCGCGGUGGCGACUCUAGUUUUAUUGACGUUAAGUUUAUCCAUAGGUUGAUGUUCCUGAAUUUACCACUACAAAAAUUAAGUGGCGAAUCUACUGGGGAGUAGUCCUCAGUGGGUUUAGCCUACUUUUUAUGUGUAUAUAUUUGUAUAUUUGAUGUUUGUAUAUAUUGUUUGUGUGAUAUAAUUUGUCUGUUGUACUUGAUGAUCUCUAAGUGGUGAGAUAAGUUAUAACCAGAACUUGAGUGCAAGUAAGAUAGGAGGAUGGUAUAGUCAUGUUCAACUUGUGUGGAGUAGUCCUUAACAAGUUGGCUUGGGAGCCUUCUACUCAUUGGAGACCCUUUUAGAGUUACUAAUGUCACAUAAGUUAUUUGUGGCUAGGCAUUACUUUCUCUGAUUUGGGGUCCGCGAAGCUAAGGACCGUAGAACAUUUAACCUAACUUGGCCUAUUUAGGACAUAAUACGGAGGUUGUUCAGGUGCAGACCUGAUAAUAGUUGUUACGUGAUACUACACUCAGACGAGUCUGUCUUGAGAAUAUUAUGGGUUGAUGAGUCAGUCAUCCUAACCUGUAAUAUCCGAUAAAUGGGAUUAAGACUCUGGAAACUUUGAUAGAACAUGAUCUACAAAUUUUUAUCCUUAGUACACCCCUUUGUGAUGGUUCUUAACCUGACUCCAUGCUCGUGACUCGAAACAAACCCUUUGAUUCUCGGUUGAUCUGAUCAAGUCUUGUCAAUAUCAAUGGAACUUGGGUGUUGAUAAGGUGAAAACCAUAAUCCACAAAAAUGGAUGAUUGAUCUUGACUGUGACUUGAUCCAUCCCUUGACCUUUGAUUGUGUUUUCCUUGUGUGUGAUCCCUUGUGUGUGAUUGUUGCAUUCAUGCACACAUGCACAUCAUAACAUUCAUCACAGAAAAAAUAAAUUUCGAGGAACUAAGGUAUUAUUUGCAAAUAUUUUCAGACUAUGGAUUAUGGACGAAAGAACACUAAGAAGUACGGGUUAAGAUGUUCUGAUUUGAAAGAGCUAAGGAAGUUGUCAUCCUUUGUAUUAGAUCCCUUGGACUUCAAGCAACGUCAUGGGAAGCUUUUGUCUGUAUUAUCCGCUGAUGUGGUUGAAGGGCUUUUGAGUGUUUUGGUUCAGUUCUAUGAUCCUCUCUACCUGUGCUUCACUUUUCCUGAUUAUCAGCUUGUACCUACAUUAGAAGAGUAUGCCCAUCUCUUGGGAAUACCUGUAUCUGACAAGGUACCUUUUAGUGGAUUGAAAGAGAUUCCUAUAUCUCAUAUCAUAGCUAAAGCUCUUCAUCUAAAGAAAUCUGAGAUUGAUGCUCAUUUGGUGAAGAAAGGAGGUAUUCUUUGGUUGACUUCUGAGCUCAUCAUUGCUAAAGUUAUUGUCUUUGCUCAAGCCGGUAGUAUGGAUGCUUUUGAAGACAUCUUUGUGUUGCUCAUCUACGGUCUAGCUUUGUUCCCUAACAUUGACGAUUUUAUUGAUGUUAACGCCAUUAGAAUCUUCUUGAUUGAGAAUCUUGUUCCUACUCUGUUGGGUGACAUGUAUUUCUCUUUGCAUUUGAGGAGUUCGAAAGGUGGUGGGACUAUUGUUUUCUAUGUGUCUCUUCUGUACAAGUGGUUCAUUUUGCACAUGCCUCAAACGCAUGCUUUCUUGGAGAACAAACAAUGUUUACGGUGGUCUUAGAGACUUAUGUCUCUCACUAAUGAUGAUGUUGUUUGGUAUGAUUCUGCAUUAAGUAGUGUGGAUAUUAUUGACAGUUGUGGCGAAUUCUCUAAUGUUCCUGUCAUUAGUACACAAGGAGGAAUCAACUACAACCCUGCUUUGGCUCAUCGUCAACUUGGGUUCCCCAUGAGAGACAAACCUAAUAACACUCAGUUAGAAGGUAUUUUCUAUCAAGAGGGUAAAGAUCCCCAACAUUUGAAGCAGAUGAUAAUACAUGAUUGGCAUAAGGUGCAUAGGAAAGGAAGAUCCGAGCUUGGUCCAUGCAACUGUGUAGCUUUGGAAGCUUUCACCAUUUGGGUGAAGAAGAGAGCUUUGGAGCUGAAGAUGUCGUAUGCUUGUGAAAGACCCAUGUCUUUGGUUGUGAAUGAGCCAUCAACUCUCCCUAACCAAGAUGUAGAGGAGUUGGAAGACACACUCACCAAGAUGAAACAAAAUAGAGAUAUGUGGGAAGAGCAGUUCCAUGCUUUGACUCGAAAGCAUGAAGAGUUAUAGCUUGAGUCAAAAGACAAAGAUGCAUUUAUUGAGAUUCUUGAGGAUCGAGCAGUGAAGAGUCAGAGAGAGCCAAAGGGUCUAUCUUCCUCUGGUAUGCCUCAGCCUUUCGGUGCUUGGAAGAAGAUUGUUGACCAACUAGUCCUUGAGAAGGCUCGGAUGAAGACAUCCUUUGAGUCCGAGAUUCGACGCAUCCGAAGGAAGUACGCGCCCACAACCAGGUCAUCUAAUACCGUUGCUAAGGGAUCCUUAAGAUGAUUAGUUUCCUUUUCUCUUGUAUUUGUACUUUGGUUUCUGAAGGUGUACUCAGUGUAAUCCUUCAAAAUUUUAUGAAUAAAAAGAGAUUUUAUGGUCGAUCAAAUUGUUGUUAUAUAUAUUUGUAAAUAGAACUUCAUACGUUCCCUAAAAUAAAAAUAAACAAAAACAUUGCAUUUCAUGCAUCAUUUUCAUAACAGGUUUUCUUUCGUUAGAUGUCUUAUCGGUUAUUCUUCUGUGCUUCAGCCAAGAUGACUCGCCGAUACAACACUCGUGCUAAUCAACCAAGGAUAAUGGAGCAUCUAGAGCAAGAGAACAAAGAGUUGAAGGAUGAUAUUUCCAGGUUAACAGUGCUGAUGGAAUCUGUCAUUAUUGUGCAGAACCAAUCCUUACCAACUCCUGCAACUCCUCCCUAGAGGACUGUCAUUUCUAAGGUUGCUACCUCAACCGUUCCUGUUGCUUCCAGUUAAUCCAGACCUUAUAUGCCUGCUGGAUUCCCUUGGGGAAUUCCAUCCAAUUUUAUUCCAGAAGGGUAUGCACCCACUUUUGUCUCUCUACCGGCAUCUAGCCUGAUCAUGUCAGUGCUACCUCCUGUUAUUCACACUCUACUUCAUGUUGAGGACACCAUCUACCAUUCUGAGCCGUCUGAGGGCCCAAACGUAUAUGAGAAGAUGGACGAAAUGAAGGAUCAGUUCCUCGAGCUGCAUAAAAAGUUGAAGACUUUAAGAGGAAAGGACUUGUUUGGGAAGAGUGCUGCUGAGCUCUGCUUGGUCCCCAAUGUUAAAAUCCCGAUGAAAUUCAAGGUCCCAGACUUUGAAAAGUAUAAAAGAAACACUUGUCCAUUGAGCCACCUUGUGAUGUACGCCAGAAAGAUGUCUACUCAAACUGAUGAUGAUCAAUUGUUGAUUUACUAUUUCCAAGACAGUUUAAUUGGUGCCACUUUGAGAUGGUACAUGGGUUUAGAUAGUGCAAGUGUCCGUACGUUCAAUGACCUAAGCAAGGCCUUUGUCAAGCAGUACAAGUACAACGUGGAUAUGAUGCCCGAUAGAGACCAACUGAGGUCUAUGUCUCAGAAGGAUAAAGAGACGUUCAAAGAGUAUGCCCAGAGAUUGAGGGAACUGGCUGCCCAAAUUAGUCCACCAUUGGAAGAGAAAGAGAUGACGAAGAUCUUCUUAAAGACGUUGGGUUCGUUUUAUUACGAACGUAUGGUUGCAAGUUCCCCCAAUGAUUUUACCGAAAUGGUAAAUAUGGGGAUCAGGCUAGAAGAAGGAGUCCGUGAAGGACGUCUGUCUAAAUAAGAAGCAUCGUCUAACAAGAAAUAUGGUGGGAGUUUCUCCAAGAGGAAGGAAGGAGAAACUGAUUCAGUGUCUGUGGGGAGGCAGAGGAGGCCUCAUGUCAAAAAGAGUUCUCAACCUCGUCAACAUCAACAUCAAGUUUCAUCAGUGAUUCCAGUGUUUUCCAACAAUUCCAACAAUCAACUGAUUCCUAUUCAGCAACAAUAACCGCAACAAAGAACCAACUACAACAACAAAAAUAAUAACCUAUAAAGCUCUGAGAGGAAGAAGGUCUCCUUUGACCCUAUUCUUAUGUCGUAUGCAGAACUAUACCCGUCCUUGGUUCUCAAGAACCUCAUUCAACCCAGAAAUCCUUUGUAGAUUCCUGAGCUACUUCCAUGGUGGUUCAAACCUGAGCUUCAUUGUGCUUUUCACCAGGGAGCUCCUUGCCACGACAUCGAAAACUUCUAUCCGUUGAAGUAUGAAGUGCAAAAGCUUGUGAAGAGUGGGAUGGUGUCCUUUGAAGACAGAGCGCCUAAUGUGAAAGCCAAUCCUUUGCCUGCUUAUGGUACUGCUUCUGUCAAUAUGGUAGAUGGUUGUCUUGGUGAAUUCAAGGUUUAUGAUGUUCUCCAUAUCAGACAAUCUUUGGUGGCAAUUCAUAAAGACAUCUGUUUCGUCAGUGAAUGUGAGCAUGGCCAUGAUGGUUGUGUGAUUUGCUGUGUGAAUCCUCGAGAAUGUGUUAUUGUUAAGAGGGAUAUUCAAAGGUUGAUGGAUGAAAGACUUAUUCAGAUUUGUUGGUCAAGAGAUAUGGGAGAUGUAAAUGUAAUUGUGCCUGUAUUUAAGACCCCUGAGCGGGUAGUUAUCCAGUUUGAUAGAAGCAAUAACAACGAUGUCAACAGAUUGGUAUCACCGUUGGUUAUACGGUUAAUGGACCCUAUUCCGUAUGCAUCGGAUAAAGCUGUGCCUUAUCAAUACAAUACAAGAAUGAUUGAAAAUUGUCAAGAGGUUCCUCUACCAGUUGCAGACUCCAUGGUGAAUAUUGUUGAUGUUGCAAAGGUGAUCCGUAGUGGUCGUGUAUUUGAUCUAGUUUUUCCAAAAGAGAUAGAAGAUGCUGCAGCAAAUAAGAAAGUAGAGAUUCCAGUAGCGAAUCCAGUUAGUACUUCAGUAUGUCCGUCUGGUGAAACCAGCAAAUUGAAGGCUAACGAUGACGAUGAAGUUUUGAAAUUGAUCAAAAGAAGCGAGUUCAAUGUUGUGGAGCAGCUGCUCCAAACUCCGUCGAAGAUCUCUAUGAUGUCACUGUUAAUAAACUCUGAGGCACAUAGGGAGGCGUUGCAGAAAGUGCUCGAGCAGGCUAAGCAUGAUGUGACUGUGGAUCAGUUUAACCACAUUGUUUCCAAUAUUACUUCUUUCAAAAAAUCUGAGCUUUUGUGAUGAAGAGCUUCCUGAGGAAGGCCGAAAUCACAAUUUGGCGCUGCAUAUUUCGAUGAAUUGUGAGGAGGACGCUCUAUCCAAUGUAUUGGUUGACACUGGUUCAUCUUUGAAUGUGCUUCUGAAAUCAACUCUAUCAAGACUUUCCUAUCAAGGCUCCCCAAUGAGGUACAAUGGCGUAAUUGUCAAAGCAUUUGACGGUUCCCAAAAAACUGUCAUUGGUGAAGUGAACCUUCUAGUGAAGAUAGGUCUGAGUGAUUUCCAUAUUACUUUCCAGGUAAUGGAUAUCCACCCGGCCUACAGUUUUCUAUUGGGAAGGCCAUGGAUUCAUGAAGCAGGAGUUGUAACGUCUACUAUACACUAGAAGUUGAAAUUCGUGAAGAACGGUAAGCUUGUCGUUGUUGGUGGAGAGAAGGAACUAUUGGUGAGCCAUCUUUCAUAUUUUUCAUAUGUUGAAGCUGAGGAGCAGGUUGGUACGCCGUUCCAAGCCUUGUCUAUUUCUGAGGAUAAGAAAACUGGGGCACCCAUGUCUUCUUUAAAAGAUGCACAAAAGGCUAUUGAGGUUGGCAGCAUUGAUCAAUGGGGUCAUAUGAUAGAGAUUGCUAAGAACAAGAAUAGGGCUGGAUUGGGAUUUCAACCAGGUCCGUUCAACAUCAGAACUGGAGUUAUGCAACCAAUUUUCCGCAAUAGAGGGUUCAUUCAUGGGGAUGAUCAACACUUAGUUGUCGUGAUUGAAGACAGUGAUGAUAAAGACGAAGCUUGCGCCAACUUUGUGACGCAUGGCCAGACUUGCAACAAUUGGGUUGUUGUUGAUGUUCCUACUGUUAUUCAUCGCUCUAAGUAAUUUGUUUUUCAUUUUAAGAAAAAUCUUUCUCCUAUGCUUAAGGGAGAAGUGAACAUUGUUGGGCACUUUUAUUAUUAUCAUCAAUAAAAUACAAUUUUAUUCAUCCACAUCUAUGAUGUUUUAUUUUUACUUUUUCCUUUUCUGAAAAAUGGUAAUCACAAAAAACAUAAAUAAAUAAUAAUCUUCCAUCUGCAUAAUAUUUUGUCACAAUUCGCUUCUCUAAAAUCAAAAUAUCAAAUUAUUAUGCAGGUUGGUUCUCAAAUCCAUUGAAUACAAUGAUCCUACUCCCUCUCCAAAUUUUGACUUCCAUGUGUUUGAAGUUGAGGAAGAGAUUGAUGAUGGAGAAGUAUCUGAUGAAUUAUCUCGUUUACUUGAGCAUGAGGAAAAAGCCAUUCAGCCAUUUGAAGACAAGAUUGAAUUAGUCAACUUAGGUUCCGAAGAUGAUGUAAAAAGAGGUCAAGAUUGGGUCUCACUGUGCCCAGAAGCUAAGAAGGGGUUGAUUGAUCUUCUUCAAGACAUGCCUGGUUUGGAUUCUGAGAUUGUGGAGCAUAGAUUGCCAUUGAAGCCAGAAUGCCUGUCGGUCAAGCAAAAGUUGAGUAGAACUCAUCUUUAUAUGGCAGUAAAGAUCAAAGAGGAAGUGAAGAAGCAAAUUGAUGUUGGUUUCCUUGUUACCUUCGAGUAUCCGCAGUGGGUGUCCAAUAUUGUUCUUGUUCCUAAGAAAGAUGGAAAAGUCCGCAUGUGUGUUGAUGACAAAUAUUUGAACAAGGCUAGUCCAAAAUAUGAUUUUCCUCUGCCACACAUUAAUAUGUUGGUAGACAAUACAACUAAAUUCAAAGUCUUUUCAUUUAUGGACGGAUUUUCCGAUUAUAAUUAGAUCAAGAUGCACCUGAAGAUAUGGAGAAUACCACAUUCAUUAUGCCAUGGGGAACAUUUUGUUAUAGAGUGAUGCCUUUCGGUUUAAAGAAUAUUGGUGCAACAUACCAGAGAGCAAUGACCACUCUUUUUCAUGAUAUGAUGCAUAAAGAGAUUGAAGUUUAUGUUGAUGAUAUGAUUGCCAAAUCAAGAAAUGAAGAAGAACAUGUUGAGCAUUUGUUGAAGUUAUUCCAGCACUUGAGGAAAUAAAAAAUCCGCUUGAGUCCCAAUAAGUGUACUUUUGGUGUUCGUUUUGGUAAGUUGUUGGGCUUUAUUGUCAGCGAGAAGGGUAUUGAAGUUGAUCCUGCCAAGGUCAAAGCAAUACAAGAAAUGCCUGCGCCCAAAACUAAGAAGCAGGUCAAAGGUUUUCUCGGCCGCUUGGAUUAUAUCUCAAGAUUCAUGUCGCAUAUGACUGCCACAUGUGCGCCAAUUUUCAAGCUUCUCCAGAAAGAUCAGUCUUGUGAUUGGACCGAAGAUUGUCAGAAAGAUUUCAAUAGUAUCAAAGAGUAUCUGCUUGAGCCUCCGAUUCUAUCUCUGCCUGUUGAAAGAAGACCCUUGAUCAUGUAUUUGAUUGUGCUUGAUGAAAGUAUAGGUUGUGUUCUUGGUCAACAAGAUGAAUCUGGAAAGAAAGAGUAUGCAAUUUACUACCUCAGUAAGAAGUUCACCGACUGUGAGACUUGGUAUUCUAUGCUUGAGAAGACAUGUUGCGUAUUGGCUUGGGUCGCUAAGCGUCCGCACCAGUAUAUAUUGAAUCAUACUACUUGGUUGAUAUCCAAAAUGGAUCCAAUCAAGUACAUAUUUGAGAAGCCUGCUCUAACUGGGAGGAUUGCCCAUUGGCAGAUGUUGUUAUUCGAGUAUGAUAUUGAAUACCGAUCUCAAAAAGCUAUUAAAGAUAGUGUCUUGGUUGACCAUUUGGCUUACCAACCAAUUGAAGGUUAUCAGUCAGUACAUUAUGAUUUUCCUGACAAAGAGAUUUUUUACCUAAAGAUGAAAGAUUAUGAUGAACCAUUGCUUGAAGAAGGGCCAGAAUCUGGUUACCGUUGGGGCAUGGUAUUUGAUGGAGUUGUUAAUUCAUAUGGUAAUGGCAUUGAGGCGGUGAUUAUUACUCCUCUAGGAACUCACUUUCCAUUUAUAGCUAGAUUAACCUUCAAAUUACAAACAAUAUGGAUGAGUAUGAAGCUUGCAUUAUGGGGCUUGAAGAGGCCAUUGAUCUCGGAAUUAAAUAUCUUGACGUCUAUGGAGAUUUAGCUUUGGUUAUGAAUUAGAUCAAAGGUGAAUGGGAGACGAAUCAACCCGGUUUGAUACCAUAUAGAGAUUGUGCAAGGAGGACUUCAACUUUCUUUACAAAAGUUGAGUUUAAUCAUAUCCCCCGAGACGAAAAUCGGAUGGCAGAUACUCUUGUAACAUUGGCUUCCAUGAUUGUGGUCAAAUUUUGGAAUGAAGCUCUCAAUUUGACUAUAAUGCGUCUUGAUAGGCCAGGUCAUGUGUUUGUUGUUGAAGAUGUCGGAGAUAAAAAGCCGUGGUAUUUUGAUAUCAAAUGUUUCCUCCAUAGUCAGAUUUACCUGCCUGGGGCAUCUUUGGAAGAUAAGAAGACUUUGAGAAGAUUAGCUGACAACUUCUACCUGAAUGGUGAUGUGCUUUACAAGAGAAACUUUAAUAUGGUUUUGCUCAGAUGCGUGGAUAGACACAAAGUAGACUUAUUGAAUACUGAAGUCCAUGAAGGUUCCUUUGGUACUCAUUCCAAUGAACAUGCUAUGGAAAAGAAGAUGUUAAGAGCAUGUUACUAUUGGCUGACAAUGGAAUCUGAUUGUUGCAAGUUUAUGAAGAAAUGCCACAAGUGUCAAAUUUAUGUAGAUAAGAUUCAUGUUCCUCUGACACUGUUGAAUGUCAUUUCCUCUCCAUGGCCCUUCUCCAUGUGGGGAAUUGAUAUGAUUGGCAUGAUUGAGCCCAAAGCUUCAAACGGACAUCGUUUCAUCCUGGUAGCCAUUGAUUACUUCACAAAGUGGGUUGAGGCGGCAUUAUAUGCAAAUGUAACCAAGCAAGUUGUUGUGAGGUUUAUCAAGAAUCAGAUUAUAUGCCAGUAUGGUGUGCCAAGUAAGAUCAAUACUGAUAAUGGAUCAAACUUGAACAAUAAUAUGGUGGAAGCUCUUUGCAAAGACUUCAAGAUUGCAUAUCAUAAUUCUUCUCCCUACAGACCCAAGAUGAAUGGGGCCGUUGAAUUUGCAAAUAAGAACAUCAAGAAGAUCAUUCAGAAGAUGGUAGUGACAUACAAAACCAGAUGACUUAUGUUCAUCCCUAGCAUUUUUCUCUAGUUGGUGUUUCCAUCCUGUUGAGAUUAGCCGAGUGUUGCAGCGACGAUUCAAAUCUGUGAUAUUUGUAUCAUUUGUGUUAUUCUAUCAGCAUAAUCAUCAAUUAUAUAUAUAUAUACAUAUUCAUACAUUAAAUAUUUCAUUAUGCAUUUUUAUUGCAUUUGACUCCUUUAUUCUGAUCCCCUGUUUUGGUGAUAUCAUUUACCUAUGUAGAUUUGGUGUGUCUGUCCUCCUUCAAUUGUAGAGUGUCAGCCCCUUUAGGAAGAAAGAGUUUAAUCUUUCUCAUUCCCCAUUGAGUUAUUUCCUCAUGGAUGAUCAUUAUUUUAGUUUCCUCCCCAGUUAAUUAUACGGAUGGAAUCACUCCCCCUGAGUUGCAUCCUCAUUGGGUUGAGUCUUUGUUUGACCGUUUCUUUCUAAUUACUACCUAGAUAGAUAUUUUUGGUACCUUGGGAGUCUAUUACCAGUAACUGGUAAUAUUCUUCUCAAUCUUCGAGUACUUUACUUUUGCUCAAUACCCAAUAAAAGUAAUCUACUUCCUUUGUUUUCCCCAAUGGAUUCGUUUUCACAUUUCCCCAGGCAGUAUAUCCUUGAUAUGUUCAUCCUAACCGGUGACGAAUAUUCUUCCUUUUGUUGGUUUCUACCCAGUAAAAAGAUAGUUGUAAUCCUUAUUUUAUUCCCCAAAGAGUUAAUGCUUGAUAUGUUCAUCUUAACCGAUGAAGGAUUUUCUCCUCUUUCCGAUUUUCUGCCCAGUAAUAGGUAGUUAUAAAUCCUACUUUCCCCUCCAAGUCUAUCCUUGAUAUGUUCAUCCUAAUCGGUGGCAGAUAUUCUCUCUUUGGUAUUCUAUCUAGUAACUGAUAGAUAUAAUUCCUAUUUUCUCCCCGAUAGUUUAUCCUUGAUAUGUUCGUCUUAACCGAUGACGGAUAUUCUUCCUUUGAGUUUAUCCUUGAUAUGUUCACUUUAACCGGUGACGGAUAUUCUCUCUUUGGUAUUCUACCCAAUAAUCGGUAGUUGUAAAUCCUAUUUGAUAUAUUCCCCCAGCAGGCUAUUCUUACCUAGUAACCGGUAACGAAUACACCUCUUUUUCCUCAGCGAGUCAUCCUUGAUAUGUUUACCCUAACCGAUAACGGAUGUCCCUCUGUCAGAUUAUAUUAUCUUCCUACCCAGUAACUAGUAAUAGAUGAUAUAUUCCUGGUACUCAUGUGUUAAAGAUCACUCUUAUCCGGUUGAGUUUGGUUUAAAUAUUUCAGCUUUGUUCUGACCUACCUGUUCCCCCUACAGAUUUCCCUCAUCCCCGGACCGAGUCCUUCCAUUGAUUUAUUUUCAUGCAAAUCCCCUCGUGUCUCCAGCAUUUUUUAAGUCGUAUCCUGACAUAUGCAUAACUUUUUAUUCCCCCUAGAGUCUUUGUGUCCCCAAUGAGUUUUUCCUUAUGGAACUCAUUAUGCUCAUGUGGACUUUCAGUCUCUCCAAAUUCUUUUUCUUUGUGGCAAUAUAUUCCCCACGAAGAUUAUUUUAACAUUCAUAUCAUAUGCAUCAUGAUGUCUCUUAGGGACCAAAAUUUGUUUCUAGAUAUUGAUAUUUAAGUCCAUUCUACUGAGUCGAUAUGAAGAUUUUAACUUUCACAUCCUCAGUUAGAAUGUCCUUAAAUAGGGGCAGCAGUAAGACCCCAAAUUUGACCCUAAGAUCCCCCAUGCUAUCUCAUCAUAUGCAUUGGCUUUGGGAUCACACUUUGGCAUCCUCCUUACCCCUCAUUCAUUGGGUUUGCAUUAGGAGAUAUCACCAAGCAUAUUUGAUUGCAUCAUACUUUGUUUUUCCUUGUUUACUAACCCAAAUACCAAAAAAUAUGUCAAUGUAUAGUUUUACUUCUUUUAUAGGUAGCAUGUGCAUCCAUCCAUGCUCAUCAAGCUCAUAUAUAGGGUUUGAGACCCUAAAUGCAAAGAGACUAAUCAAGAUAUGGUUCACAAUGAAUCUAGACAUCAUAUAUGGGUCCCCAUGAUCUCCAUUGAUAAUUUUGAUCAAUAUUCAUCAAGAGUUUGAAGCUUGUUUGCCUUGGAAGUCCUAAUUCAUCUGGGUAUCUUAUGUGACUUCUUUAGCACGUUUUUCAACAUUUGAUCAAAUAUUUCAAGGUAUACUUCAUAUUACAUCAUCUUAUACAUAUACGAUCCUCCAUGAGUCCCAAAUUCUAAGAUAAUUUCAAGUUUGCAAGAUGGUUCAUGGUGGUUGACCAGAGAAAGUCAACUAGUCAAAACUGGGGUUCCCUAGACCCUAUCUCCUACAAUUUCUGUCAUAUGAAAAUUAUUCCAAGAGAAAUGUUACUCUUUAUGACAUUACAAGAAACUUUAAUGUUGAAGUCAAGAGCUAUUUUUGCUUGAAAGUCAUUUUUUUAUGGUAAAAGAUUAUAGGUCAUUUUGUCUAAACCCUAGUUAGGAGGUCAACUUCCAAGGACCAUAACUUGCUCAAUGUUUAUGAUAUGAAAGCCAUUAAAGUUUCAUUAUUAUAUUCAAGAUAUACUCUCCAAAUUUUAUUCAUGGAAGAAGUUCAAAUUCAACUUGCAAAUGCAUGUGCCAAGAAGAAACAUUAUAGGUCAUUUAGGCCCAUUACCAUUGAACAAAUGAUUUUCCUCAAUUUCUAAAAUACAUAACUCCUUCAUUCCAAAUCCAAAUGAGAUAAAAUUUAUGACCAAAUUGAAGAUUUUUUAAAUAGAUACAACUUUGAUGAAGGAACUUUUUCGAUUUGAAUCCCAUAAUAAAAGUUAUUCAAGGUGGAAGAAGUGAACAUUUGACUUGGUACUUAGAAAAUUUUCAAAUAUGUUUGAUUUUCCAAACUUCCACCUCAAAAUUCAUCAUGAUCCAAGCUUCAAAUGGAAAAGUGUUCACAUUUGACUUGGUACUUAGAAAAUUUUCAAAUAUGUUUGAUUUUCCAAACUUCCACCUCAAAAUUCAUCAUGAUCCAAGCUUCAAAUGGAAAAGUGUUCAACAUGAAAGUUGUUCCCCUUGAUCUCACCUUUCCAAAAAGUCAAGAUCAUCUCAUUUGGCCAAGAAUUGGAGGACUUGCGCAUGAGUUCUUUUCAAAGGUUCAUUUGGAUGCAUUUCACAUUCACAUUUCAAUCUCCUUUGCAUGACCACAUAACAUGAUUUCAACAUUGCACAUGAGUGAUUUUGGACCUGAUAACAUCAUUUCAUGGGCCUAUUAUACGCCCACAUAAGCAUGCAAGAUAAUUUCUAUUUUUGGUCAAUUUUGGAAGUGUGUGGAAAUCAAAUGCAUUGCCUAUAAAUAAGACCCUCGUGGCUCAGAAUUAAGGACCUCAUGCCCAAGCUUUAAACCUGCAAUCCAAACCCUCACCAUUAAAGGAUAAUCUUGAAGUUUUUAUUUGAAAAUCGAGCUUCAAAUCUCUUUCUAUUUUGAGAUUGAAACUCCAAGAGUCCAAGCUUUUCCUUGAUCCAAUUCAACUCCUACAAGCUUUCUAAAGUCAAGCCAAGGCCAAUUGGAAGCAAGAUCAAGCAAGUUUGAAGCUCACUCGAAGGUGGUUUUCCAUAAUUUUUAUCUCUUCGAUUCUCUCUCAAUUCUUCACUAUUCGUUGUGAUUUUUGAUUGGCUGAAGUCCUACCAAUGUAGGCAACAAGAUUGAGUUGCUUUGAGGUCAAAUCGAAGCAACUUAGUUCAUGAUCCUCAAAAUUCAAAUCUCUGUAUCUUUUUAUAUACUUGGAAUUGGAGAAAAUUGAGGCCAAAUUUAUGAUCUUGAGCAUUUUCUCUUUGAAAUAGUGUCUUUGUUUUUCAUUUUACAUUGAGAUGAAGUAGGACCAGUCCGGUGAAGGUUCCCGGAGAAGGUGACCUCAUGCCCAAGCUUUAAACCUGCAAUCUAAACCCUCACCAUUAAAGGAUAAUCUUGAAGGUUUUCAUUUGAAAAUUGAGCUUCAAAUCUCUUUUUGUUUUGAGAUUGAAACUCCAAGAGUCCAAGCUUUCCCUUGAUCCAAUUCAAUUCCUACAAGCUUCUAAAGUCAAGCCAAGGCGAAUUAGAAGCAAGAUCAAGCAAGUUUGAAGCUCACUCGAAGGUGAUUUUCCAGAAUUUUCAUCUCUUUGAUUCUCUCUCAACUCUUCACUAUUCUUUGUGAUAUUUGGUUGGCUGAAGUCCUACCUAUAUAGGCAACAACUUUGAGGUCAAAUCGAAGCAACUCAGUUCAUGAUCCUCAAAAUUCAAAUCUUUGUAUCUUUUUAUAUACUUGGAAUUGGAGAAAAUUGAGGUCAGAUUCGUGAUCCUGAGCAUUUUCUCUUUGAAAUAGUGUCCUUAUUUUUCAUUUUCCAUUGAGAUGAAGUUGGACCAAUUCGAUGAAGGUCACCGAAGAAGAUGAUCGGAGUCCUAGCUUCGAUGGUGUGUUGUCACACUUCCUGGCCAUCUGAUCAAGCUUGGAUGUUCUAAUAUGGACUGUUGUAUCUGAUUACCACACGUACAUUGCAUUGACCAAGGUCCACCAUGGAACACGCGCGUGUGGCCGUCAGAUCUGCCUCCUCAAUUAAUGAGGGAGAUCUGACGGCCCUUGUUUUUUCUAUUUUUAUUUUAAUUUUUGAUUUUAUGUUUAAUCCUUUUAUUUUGUUUAAUUCAUAAUAAUUUCAUUUUUAAUCCAAAAAAUAUGGGACUUUUACCAAAAAUCUUUAAAUAUUUUUCUCUUUUAUAUUCCGAAUUAAAAUUAUUUUUUGGAUUAAUUUUGAUAUUUUUCAUGAAUUAAAUGUUUUUGUGCAUAUUUUUAAUUGUUUAAAAAUACUUAUGACUUUUCAAAAAUCAUAGAAUUUUUUGUCUAAGGUCCUUUGACCUUGUUUGACCUAGGAUAAAUAUCUUGGCUAUUUAUUUGGUGUUUUGAAGAAAUUUUAGGUUUUGACCAAAUUAAAAUGUAUUUUAAUUCAUUUUAAAAUUGAUUUUUAAUUGAUUAAAUAUGUAAAAAUUAUGUUGAUCCAUUUUUAUGGUCUUGUGAUGUUUGACUAUUUGUUUGGGCCUUGGUCAAAGUUCAUUUUACUUUUGUUGGAUUAAAACUAUUGGAUUUAGGGGAUUGAUGAAAUGUACAUUUCAUCUCCCAAAAUGAAUGAAUGGUUUUAAUUUGAUAAAAUCCUCAAUUGAUCAAUUUGUGUUUCUAUCUUCCCCUCCCUCUUCAUCUUCAUCCAUAUUCUUUCCCAUUCCCUCAUUUGACCAAUGAAAUCCCUAAUGUCUUAAAGCUAAUUGGUUCAUUAAUGACCUUGUGUCAGAUGAACCAAUACAAGUAUGACUGAGAUAGGUCCAUCCCUCUUGAUCUUUUAUUUUAGUGUAUGGUAUGUUUUAAGAGUUUGGUUCAUUAUACCAAAUCUCUAACAUGCAUUAACACCUAAAUUUUUAUUGUCCGACCUCAGAUGGUUGUGACUUCUACAUAAGUCCAAUUACGAUUGCUUAACAUAGAGCUAAAUUUGACCCUAAAGGCAUAGCAUUCUAGUAAGUGAGAUUGUAAGUCUCUCAUUCUUCAUGGUCUUGUAUGGAAACUUGACCUUUUUUCCUUUCAUGAGAGCUAGUGGCAUACUUGUUAAAUUAUCUAAGUUGGAGCCCUUCUCAUGGAAGAUGUCUUGGUUUAAGGAUCCAUACUUGUGAAUGGAUGGUUGAGUGUUCUCCAAAGAAUGACUUAACCGAUUAAAAAUCAUCACUAACACUUGACUAACCUUUGACUAACAUUUGACUAACUCUUGUUAAUAUUUCUUUACUUUCAAGUCAUUUACUUUAUGCAAUUUAAAUUUCAGCCAUUUAUCAUUCAUUGCCAUUUAAAUUCCAUCUAACUUGUUUAUGUUUAUGUCAUUUUCACUUUGCUCAUUUGAGACAUAUCUUGUGAUUGUAUAUAUUGUUUGUGCAUUUUGGUUUUGUUUGUGGUCUUAGGACCUUAAAAUACUUAAUAAUAACAAAAGACCCUAAAAAAUGUUUGGUGGACUGUUGAUCUUGAUAUGGACUCUUGGACUUAGGAUUAGGCAACAUUCCCUGUGCAAAAAGAACUUGGCUAAUACCAACAUUUUUGAGACUGAGUUAUUAUGAACUAAGUCUUCACCUGAUGCAAAUCUUGGACCAUGUUUGAAUUCACCUGCUACUUUGUCUUGGUGCUAAUUGUUAUUUUGAUCUUGUGUCUGACACUUUGUUCUGAGUUGAUCAAGGAUUAAUUCAUUUGAUACAUGAGAAGACAAACAAGAUUGCUAGCUAUGGGAGUUACUUGCUUGGAUGUGGCCAUCUUUAUUUGAUGCCUUGAUCUUCUUGAUGUUUGGAUAUUGCAAAUUUCUCCUUGAUUAUUGUUUGGUUCAAAGUCCAAAGGGAAAGUGGGUUUUCUAUAUGACAUUCUUGUCUGUUGGAUUGCAUCCCAUUGUCAAAUAUUUUCAACUCUUAACUUUUAGUUUGUGCUUAGGAUAGCCUCUUCAUCUUCUCCCACUUCUUAAAUUUCAAAAUCUCCCCCCAUUUUCAAAAACUUUAUUUGCUUGUGAUUUCAAACUUAGACCUUAUUUUAAAUAGAAACUUUGGCCUUAUGCCAAUGAAUUUUCAAACACUUUUAUUAAAUCAAACUUGUAAAUAAACUUAAUUAUAUUGACUUAAAAUUUCAAAAGGCAAAAAGAACUAACAACUUCAUUCUAAUUUUUGACCCUUUGUGCCCUUUUUCAUUUAAAACUUUUGAUUAAAAGCAAUUCACCAACUUUGAAAUUGUUACCACGAACUACGAAGUUUUGAUCCCUCAUUUUUAUGUUGGUACGUAGACACAAGUAUGAAGGUCUUGUCAAACACAAAAAUAUAAUCAAUGAAUUCUUUUCUCAUCCCUACACUCUAUUUUUCUCAAACAUCAUUUAUACCAAAAACACAUGCACACAUAAAAAAGGGCUCCCUAGGAGUACCUAGGACACUUUGGGUGCUAACACCUUCCCUCUGUGUAACCCACCCCCUUACCUGUAAUCUCUAGAAUUUAAUUAGUUUUUAUUAGAAAACUUUUUAUCUUUGGGUUUUGUUCGUACUUUUCCCUUUUCCUUUGGAAACAAUAAAUGUGUGGCGACGACUCUGGUUUUAUUAAUGUUAAGCUUAUCCAUAGCUUGAUUUUCAUGAAUUUACCACUACACCACCAUACAAACCAAAAACAUAGAUGAAAACAUAACAAUGACACACAAUUAGGGAUAUUGUUAACAAGGUGACAUGUUCAAUCAUAAAUCAUGAGAAAAAUAAAUAACAAAUUGAUGCUCCAAAUACUAUAAUUUAAGAAGAGUGAAGAUAGUGUAACGUCACUAUAAGCAUAUGAAUUGACAUGCAUCAAUUAAACAUUGUUGGAAGUAUCAUAUAUGAACUAUCUUAUAUGUCAAGAACAUCAAUCAUAUGAACCAUAAACAUCACUGGAAAAGAUAAAGCUAAUACAUAAAAACGGAAAAUGAAACGAUAGUACCUUGCUUGUGAUACGAUAGUACCUACUCGUCGCACUUAAAGCAUAUGAGAUAUCUUAUCGAGUACAUAACAUGGCAUACAUGUGUUGGUUCUAAAUGUUGGCAGCAAUUUCGGUAAAACAAAGAGUGUUCACAAGAUGUUAUGUGUGAUGUCUUAACAUAAGAUAUCCUAUGUACCUGUUGGAGUUCAAGAAAAUAAUCAUGCAGGAUUGUUUCAGAAUGUCAUAUACAAUGCCAUGGCUUCUGAUAAUGUGUUCCUGCUAGAGUUGAAAUGGAAAAACAAAAUUAUGCAGGACUGUAUCAGGAUGUCAUACACGAUGUCAUGACAUCUAAUGUUUGUGUACCUGCUGGAAGUUAUAAAAGGAAUUAUGGAAUUAUGCAGGAUUUUUCCAGGAUAUCAGACCCGAUGUCAUGACAUCCUGUACACAGAACAUUCAGUAUGAAUGUCUGGUGUUUUGUGAUUGCACAAUUAAUGGCAAUCUAUUUAUGAUAGAAGAUCUGAUUUGCAGGCGCAUUCAAGCAUGGAUUACAACCUGAUUUAGUUAUUUUCCAAGGAGAUCUAAACAGCUGUUAUGAAAAAAUUUAAUUGGAAAAUAGAUUUAGGGUUUUCAAGAUGUCCAAGCCCAGCUGAAAGCUUCUAUAAAAAGGGACUUAGAAAACCUAUUUUACAACACAACCAAUACUUAGCGAAAUAUAGAGAGAGAGCUAGGGUUUGUGUCUGUUUAGUCGUGAGACUUGUAAGCCAUUCAAGUCAUCUUUUGAUGAUUGAAUUGGACUGAUUUGUGGUUGUAAUUUGUCACUCUAAAGUUGUUAAGCAAGAUGUGUGAGUGAUUGAUCAAGAUUGGUGAAGCAAGUCAGUGCUGUGUCUACUUUGAUCAAGUUGUGAAGCAAGAUCAGUGUGUGUCUGUCUUGAUUGAUAUGCGGAAGUAAAAUCAAGAGGCUGUGUUUAUUGAUAAAGGUGUUUUCUUUUCUCAUAGGGCUUGUGUUUAGAUCACAGUGUGUGAUUAUUGUAGGGAAGGUGAGUGGGUUCUCAUAUCUAAGAGUGCUUAGGUAGAAAUUGCACGGGUAGAGAUUAGGUGAGAAAGACUGUAACUUGUUGAAGUGUACGGAGAGUCUUUGAACUGAUUCUAUUAUAGUGAAUUUCCUUCUUCGCUUGGUAGCCCCCAGAUGUAGGUGAGUUCGACCGAAUUGGGUUAACAAUUGCUUGUGUCUCUUGCAUUACUAUUCUCUAUCUUUAUCCUGUUUGUAUUACUCAGAUAUCAGUGUCGUGACAUUACCUUCGACAUCUCAUAUUUGAUACCAGAAUUUCAAUUGGUAUCAGAGCAGGCAUCCUGCUCUGGUUCUGGGUGAGAUCUAGGGAUGAUACUUUCUGGUACUAUGGAGAGAGAUGGAGGAUCUGUUCACAGACCAUGUAUUUUGGAUGGAUCCAACUAUGACUAUUGGAAAUCUCGAAAGGUAGCCUUCCUAAAAUCUCUGGAUAAUAACGCUUGGAAGGCUGUGUUAACAGGCUGGGAACAUCCAGUUGUUACCAAGAAUGGAGAAGCUACUGCUGAUAAGAAGGCUGAAGAACAAUGGACCAAGGAGGAGGAUGACUUAGCCCUUGGGAACUCUAAGGAACAUCCAGUUGUUACCAAGAAUGGAGAAGCUACUGCUGAUAAGAAGGCUGAAGAACAAUGGACCAAGGAGGAGGAUGACUUAGCCCUUGGGAACUCUAAAGCAUUGAAUGCUAUAUUCAAUGGUUUAGAUAAGUAUAUCUUCAGAUUGGUAAACAACUGUGAAGUGGCUAAAGAUGCUUGGGACAUUCUCAAAAUCACUCAUGAAGGCACCUCUAGAGUGAAGAUGUCUAGACUGCAGCUGCUCACUACCAAGUUUGAAAACUUAAGGAUGAAAUAAGAUGAAAAUAUUCAUGAAUUUCAUAUGAAUAUCCUUGAAAUUGCUAAUGCCUCAAGAGCCCUGGGUGAGAAGAUGUUAGAUGAAAAAUUAGUGAGGAAAAUACUCAGGUCACUCCCUAUGAGAUUUUCCAUGAAAGUGACAGCCAUAGAAGAGUCUCAAGACAUUUCCAAUAUGAGAGUUGAUGAGCUAAUUGGAUCCCUUCAAACAUUUGAGGAUGGGAAAGUGAUGAUUGGAUCUUUGAAAAGAAGCCAAAGCAUAGCAUUCAGUCAAACACUAAUGAGGAAGAGGAGGAAGUGGUCCAGAUAUUGAUGAAGAUCUGGUAGAUGAUGCUAGCAAUGUUGGGAAGACAGUUCAACAAGCUAGUGAAAAAGAUGGAUGAAAGAUCUAAGGCUAAUGUCAAGAACAUCGCAUCUGACAUCAGUAAAUCCAACAAUAUUGGAAGAAGAACAAGGUCAAAUGAAAAGUCCAAAGAAGAAAAAGGAGUUCAGUGCCAUGAAUGUGAUGGGUAUGGACACAUUAGAACUGAAUGUGGGACCUACCUCAAUAAACAGAAGAGGAGUCUUGCUGCCACUUGGUCAGAUGGAAGUGAAACAGAAGAAUCUGCAAAUCUUAUGAGUGCCUUGACUGGAAGAUGAGAUUCUAAUGAAGACUUAAGUGAUGGUGAAGUAACCUUUGAAGAGUUGGCCACUACCUACAGAAAGUUGUGUCUCAAAAGUGUAGAGUGGUGUAAACAGCUUGAAAGCCAGAAGAAGGAAAUAACUCAACUUGAGAAUGAGAAGGUAGAACACUUGGAAACCAUCUCCAAAUUAAAAACAGAAGUAGUGGUUCUGAAGGCCAAGAUAGAUGAAAGUCAACAAGUUGAAAGCCAGAAGACAGUACAGCUGGAGAAUGAGAAGGCAGACCAUGUGGAAAUCAUCUCCAAGUUAAAAACUGAAGCUAUGUUCUUGAAUUCUAAACUAGAAGAGAUGACCAAGUAUGUAAGAAUGUUAAACAAUGGAUCUGACUCCCUAGACAAGAUUCUCCAAACUGGAAAAAUAANNNNNNNNNNNNNNNNNNNNNNNNNNNNNNNNNNNNNNNNNNNNNNNNNNNNNNNNNNNNNNNNNNNNNNNNNNNNNNNNNNNNNNNNNNNNNNNNNNNNNNNNNNNNNNNNNNNNNNNNNNNNNNNNNNNNNNNNNNNNNNNNNNNNNNNNNNNNNNNNNNNNNNNNNNNNNNNNNNNNNNNNNNNNNNNNNNNNNNNNNNNNNNNNNNNNNNNNNNNNNNNNNNNNNNNNNNNNNNNNNNNNNNNNNNNNNNNNNNNNNNNNNNNNNNNNNNNNNNNNNNNNNNNNNNNNNNNNNNNNNNNNNNNNNNNNNNNNNNNNNNNNNNNNNNNNNNNNNNNNNNNNNNNNNNNNNNNNNNNNNNNNNNNNNNNNNNNNNNNNNNNNNNNNNNNNNNNNNNNNNNNNNNNNNNNNNNNNNNNNNNNNNNNNNNNNNNNNNNNNNNNNNNNNNNNNNNNNNNNNNNNNNNNNNNNNNNNNNNNNNNNNNNNNNNNNNNNNNNNNNNNNNNNNNNNNNNNNNNNNNNNNNNNNNNNNNNNNNNNNNNNNNNNNNNNNNNNNNNNNNNNNNNNNGGCCCUCCUGUUAUUUUUCCAGUUUGGAGAAUCCUUGUCUAGGGAGUCAGAUCCAUUAUUUCACAUUCUUACAUACUGUGGUCAUCCUCUUCUAGUUUAGAUUCAAGAACAUAGCUUCAGUUUUUAACUUGGAGAUGAUUUCCACAUGGUCUGCCUUCCUCAUGUCUCCAGCUGUACUGUCUUCUUGGCUUCAUAUGUCACAACAUCAGAAGAGAAGACAGCAGAAAGGGAAACACCAAAGAUGGAGAUGCCAUUACUGUGGGAAAUUUGGUCACCUGAAGCCCUUCUGCUAUAAGCUGUAUGGUUAUCCUAGCCCUGCUCAUCAUCAGACUCACUAUCAACCCAGACCCAAACAACACAGGCCUGUCAACAAAGAGCAAUGGGUUCCUAAGACUAAUCUUACAAGUCUACUAGCUCACAUUCCCCUCAGAGUCUCAGCCAAAGAAGAGUGGUAUUUUGAUAGUGGAUGUUCCAGACACAUGACUGGAAACAAAGACCUGAUAAUUGGACUUCAUCCUCAUGCCAUAAGCUAUGUAACCUUUGCUGAUGGAGCAAAGGGUGAAAUCAAGGGGAUAGGCAAGCUUGAUUGUCCUGGAGUGCCUAAACUUGACAAGGUCCUACUGGUUAAGGGCUUGACUGCUAAUCUAAUAAGCAUCAGUCAACUAUGUGACCAAGGUCUAAACGUUAACUUCACUAAAUUUGAAUGUCUGAUUACCAACAAAGAAAGUGAAGUAAUCAUGGAAGGAGUCAGAACCAAAGACAAUUGUUACAUGUGGAACUCUCAAAUUAGUUACUCCUCAAAAUGUACCUCAGUCAAGGAGAAAGGGAUGAAGAUGAUUAUAUCUGCUAGAGAAACUCUCAAAUUGAAAGUCUGUGGGAAAUGUCAGACAAGAAUGUCAACCAUAAAAUCAGACUUAACAUCACUUCCAAAGGGUUGAAACUCCUCCAUAUGAAGUUGAUGGGACCCAUGCAAGUGGAAAGCCUUGGUGGAAAGAAGUUUGCAGUGGUGGAUGAUUUCUCCAGAUACAUCUGGACCAAAAACAAAUCUGAUGUGGUUGAAAUCUUCAAAGAUUGUUGUCUGAAACCUCAAGGAGAAAAGCUCAUGGUGGCUCAAACAGAUAUGGAUAAUAUUGGGUUUGGUAGGAGGUCAGAUCAGAUGGUAGAACAUGUUGCUCGUCAAAUGCAGUCUGAAGUUGGGAAGAGCUUUGUUGGACUUGGGCUACAAGUCAAGCAGAUAGAAGAGUCUACUUUUCUAUCUCAAAGCAAAUGUGCCAAGAACAAUGUUAAGAAGAUUGGCAUGAAGAGUGCAAGGACUCCUGCUCCUAUACAUUCGAAAGUAUUCAAAGAUGAAAAUGGUGUUUGUGCUAUAUAUCAAGCUGAAUACAUAGCAGCUGGAAGUAGCUGUUCUCAACAGGGUUGGUUGAAACUAAUGGUGACUGAACACAAUGUCACACAAGAUGUCAGGACAGUGUACUGUGACAACCUGAGUGCUACAACUAUUUCCAAAAAUCCUGUUCAGCACAGCAGGACAAAGCACAUUGAUAUUNNNNNNNNNNNNNNNNNNNNNNNNNNNNNNNNNNNNNNNNNNNNNNNNNNNNNNNNNNNNNNNNNNNNNNNNNNNNNNNNNNNNNNNNNNNNNNNNNNNNNNNNNNNNNNNNNNNNNNNNNNNNNNNNNNNNNNNNNNNNNNNNNNNNNNNNNNNNNNNNNNNNNNNNNNNNNNNNNNNNNNNNNNNNNNNNNNNNNNNNNNNNNNNNNNNNNNNNNNNNNNNNNNNNNNNNNNNNNNNNNNNNNNNNNNNNNNNNNNNNNUCAGACUUAACAUCACUUCCAAAGGGUUGAAACUCCUCCAUAUGAAGUUGAUGGGACCCAUGCAAGUGGAAAGCCUUGGUGGAAAGAAGUUUGCAGUGGUGGAUGAUUUCUCCAGAUACAUCUGGACCAAAAACAAAUCUGAUGUGGUUGAAAUCUUCAAAGAUUGUUGUCUGAAACCUCAAGGAGAAAAGCUCAUGGUGGCUCAAACAGAUAUGGAUAAUAUUGGGUUUGGUAGGAGGUCAGAUCAGAUGGUAGAACAUGUUGCUCGUCAAAUGCAGUCUGAAGUUGGGAAGAGCUUUGUUGGACUUGGGCUACAAGUCAAGCAGAUAGAAGAGUCUACUUUUCUAUCUCAAAGCAAAUGUGCCAAGAACAAUGUUAAGAAGAUUGGCAUGAAGAGUGCAAGGACUCCUGCUCCUAUACAUUCGAAAGUAUUCAAAGAUGAAAAUGGUGUUUAUGCUAUAUAUCAAGCUGAAUACAUGGCAGCUGGAAGUAGCUGUUCUCAAUAGGGUUGGUUGAAACUAAUGGUGACUGAACACAAUGUCACACAAGAUGUCAGGACAGUGUACUGUGAUAACCUGAGUGCUACAACUAUUUCCAAAAAUCUUGUUCAGCACAGCAGGACAAAGCACAUUGAUAUUAGUCAUCACUUUAUUAGAGAACUUAUGGAAGAGAAAAUCAUAGCACUGGAGCAUGUUACUACUGAAAUGCAAUUAGCUGACAUAUUUAGAAAAGCUUGGAUGCUAAUCAGUUUGAAUGUUUAAGAGGGAAAUUGGGGAUUUGUAUUCAUGAGAAUUUAUAGCAAUUAAAGUGAAAAUUUAUUAUACAUAGGAGAGUUGCUAUAGAAAGGGAGCUAGGGAAGGAGGCUGUAGAAGUGAAGGAGGUUAUGCAAUUAAUCAAGUUUGCUGGUUUGAUGAAAACAGUUAGUGCAUUACCCCAAUGUUUUGAAGGUUUAGUGGAGGAGUUUAUGGUAAAUAUCCCAGAGGAUAUUUCUGACAAGAAUAACAAAGAGUUCUGCAAGGUCUUUGUGAGAAGAAGGUGUGUAAGGUUCUCCUCAACUAUAAUGAAUAAGUUCCUAGGGAGAGGAACAAAAGGAGUUGUUGAGUUAGAAGCCGCAGACAAUGAAGCCUGUAGGAUAAUCACUGCUGGUCAAGUCAAAGAAUGGCCAAGAAAGAAGCAUGACACUGCUGAGAGAGUAAUUGAUUUGGAGGAAGAGAGUUCAGAAGAGGAAGAUGACACCCUGGUUCAUCACUUAAAACCAAGUGUUGCAAAGAAAAUGAAAACCAGGAAAGGCAAGAUUGUGGCUGAGAUGUUGACAGCUAGAACUAGUAGGAAGGCUGCUGCUGUAGGUCCUUCUAAAUCAUGGAGUAAAGUAGAGGUUCAGAAGAGGAAAAUCAGAGAAAGCUCUGAUUCUAAAGAUGAUGUCGAAGACGAUGUCCCAGACAUCUCACCUGCUAAAAGGCAAUCUGUUAGAAAGUCUCCAGCUAAGGUUGCAGCUGUGCACUUGGACAACAUUUCCUUCCAUCUGGAAGAUAGUGAAGCCAAGGAGUCAGAUGCCCAUACCUCAAGUGAUAGGUCUAAUUCUCAAGAUCAAUCUAGUGGCAGUUCUGAAUCUGAAAGUGAAGAAGAUGCUACCUCCUCAGACUAAGUUAUGGUGAUGGUCCCCCUGUUAUGAUGACAUGUGUGUUGUUCUAGAUGUUGUUAUGACUGUUUUGGAAGCUUGGAUGUUUUGGUUUUUGGAAUGUUUGUAAUUUGUGGCAGUUCUUACUGAUGCCUUUAUUUGGGCUCUUAAUGAGUUCCAUGGAUUUCUAAUUAUCUCAGCUAUUACAGCUGCGAAUAAUUAUGGUUUGUAUCUCCUAGCAUUUAUGUUUUAACAUUUUAUAUGUUAUAACAUCUGUUGUGACAUUCUCGGCUAGGCUAAUUGACAUUUAUUUUGUCUAAUUGGUCACCUUUGGUCAAUUUUGACUAAAAAGGGGGAGAAGUGUUUAUGUGGAGUUGUGUGGAGAUGUAUGUGCUGGUGUAACUGAACAGAUGAACAACUAUUGUUGAAGGAGAUAUGUUUGAUGUAAAAUAGAAUGUUGUUCUGUUCUGUGAUGUUGGAGGAGAUGUCUGAUGUAAGACAGAAUGAUGUUCUGUUUACAGAUGUUGGAGGAAAUGUCUGAUGUAAGACAGAAUGAUGUUCUGUUUACAGAUGUUGGAGGAGAUGUAUGAUGUAAGACAGAAUGGUGUUCUGUUCUGAGAUGUUGAAGGAGAUGUCUGAUGUUCUAUGCAUGCUCUGUGUUGUACAGGUGAUAUUGAAGGAGAUGUCAGAAGGAGGUUCUGAAUGUUAACAUGUUGAAGGACAUGUCAGAAUGUUAACAUGUUGAAGGAGAUGCCAGAAUGUGAUUCUGACUGUUACAGGUGCUGUGGUUACAGGUGUUGUUAUUAUCAUGGGAGAUGUAUGUGUGCACAGACUUAGGGGGGGAAGGAGUACCCUUGUGCAUUUGUGUGUCUUACUAGUUGCAUCCAUAACUAGUAAUUCUGUUUCUGUUGCACAAAUUUAGGGGGAGGAGAAGUACCCUUGUGCAUGUGUGUAUUACUAGUAGCUAUAAGUACCCUUGUGCAUUUGUGUGUCUUACUAGUUGCAUCCAUAACUAGUAAUUCUGUUUCUGUUGCACAAAUUUAGGGGGAGGAGAAGUACCCUUGUGCAUGUGUGUAUUACUAGUAGCUAUAUCUAGUGAUUGUGUUUGCUUCUACUGUUGUUUAAACUGUUGUUUAACUGCUGAUAGUUUUCUUGUGAACAAAAAGGACAGAUAUAUGUUUUAGCCUAAAUUUGCCAAAGGGGGGGUUUGUUGGUUCUAAGUGUUGGCAGCAAUUUUGGUAAAACAAAGAGUGUUCACAAGAUGUUAUGUGUGAUGUCUUAACAUAAGACAUCAUAUGUACCUGCUGGAGUUCAAGAACAUAAUCAUGCAGGAUUGUUUCAAAAUGUCAUAUACAAUGCCAUGGCUUCUGAUAAUGUGUUCCUGCUGGAGUUGAAAUGGAAAAACAAAAUUAUGCAAGAUUGUAUCAGGAUGUCAUACACGAUGUCAUGACAUCUGAUGUUUGUGUACCUGCUGGAAGUUAUAAAAGGAAUUAUGGAAUUAUGCAGGAUUUUUCCAGGAUGUCAGACCCGAUCAUGGACAUCCUUGUACACACAUUCAGUAUGAAAUGUCUGGUGUUUUGUGAUUGCACAUAAUGGCAUCUAUGUAUGAUUGAAGAUCUGAUUUGCAGGCGUAUUCAAUCAUGGAUUACAACUUGAUUUACUUAUUCCAGAGAUCUAAACAACUGUUAUGAAAAGAUUCAUUGAAAAAAGUUUAGGUUUUCAAGAUGUCCACUGGAAGCUUCUAUAAAAAGGGACUUAGAAAACCUGUUUUACAACACAACCAAUACUGAGCGAAAUAUAGAGAGAGAGCUAGGGUUUGUGUCUGUUUAGUCGUGAGACUUGUAAGCCAUUCAAGUCACCUUUUGAUGAUUGAAUUGGACUGAUUUGUGGUUGUAAUUUGUCACUCUAAAGCUGUUAAGCAAGAGUGUGUGUCUACUUGAUCAAAGCUGUGAAGUGUGUUAUUGAAAAGUGUUUUCUUUUCUCAAGGGAUUGUUGUGUAAGAUCACAUGUGUGAUUGUAGGGAAGUGAGUGGGUUCUCAUAUCUAAGAGUGCUUAGGUAGACAUGCACGGGUAGAGAUUAGGUGAGAAAGACUGUAACUUAUUGAAGUGUACGUAGAGUCUUUGAACUGAUUCUAUUAUAGUGAAUUUCCUUCCUGGCUUGGUAGCCCCCAGAUGUAGGUGAGUUGGACCGAACUGGGUUAACAAUUGCUUGUGUCUCUUGCAUUACUACUCUCUAUCUUUAUCCUGUUUGCAUUACUCAGAUAUUAGUGUCGUGACAUUACCUUCGACAUCUCAUAUCUGAUACCAGAAUUUCAACAUGAUAGAUCCUAUUGCAAAUGCAUAUGGAAUCUUAUUCAUGUGAUCCCUUUCUUCCUUAGUUAAAGGGGAUUGUAUUUUUGAUAGACACAUGCCAUGUUGCAUAGGUAUGAAUCCUUUCUUGGAAUCAUGCAUAUUAAAGCGUCUCAGCACUUUGUCUAUGUAUGUACUCUGACUUAGGCCAAGCAAUUUUUAUGAUUUAUCUCUAUAGAUUCUGAUUCCUAAUAUAUAGGCUGCUUCACCUAGGUCCUUCAUAGAAAAGCAAUUCCCCAACCAAGACUUUACUUGUUGUAGGGUAGGGACAUCGUUUCCAAUGAGUAAUAUGUCAUCUACAUAUAAUACCAGGAAAACGAUCAUGCUCCCUUUAACCUUCUUGUAGACAUAAGGCUCGUCUUUGUUCUUGAUGAAUCCAUAUUGUUUUACUGUUUCAUCAAAACGAAGAUUCUAGCUUCUGGAAGCUUGCUUCAAUCCAUAGAUUGAUCUUUGUAACUUAUAUAUCUUUAGGGCUUCUUCAGGUAUGUCAAAUCCUUCAGGUUGUGUCAUGUACACAUCCUUAAGAAGAUUCCCAUUAAGGAAAGUAGUUUUGACAUCCAUCUGCCAUAUUUCAUGAUCAUGAUAUGCAGCGAUAGCAAGUAAAAUCCGAACAGAUUUAAGCAUUGCAACUGGUGAAAAGGUUUCAUCAUAGUCAACCCCAUGAAGUUGUUUAUAUCCUUUUACAACCAGUCUUGCCAUCCAUGUCAGUAUUCUUUUUGAAGACCCACUUGCAUCCUAUAGGGUUAACUCCUACAAGAGGCUCUACCAAGGUCCAAACCUGGUUUGUGUACAUGGAAUCCAUUCCAGAUUUCAUGGCUUCUAGCCACUUCUCAGACUCGGGGACCAAUUAUGGCCUCUUGGUAGGUCACAGGCUCAUCUUGAUCCAUGAGUAAUACAUCACCUUGAUCAGUUAUGAGAUAUCCAUAUCUCUCAGGUAGGUGACGUAUCCUGCCUGACCUACGCUAGUCUUGUUCUACUUGAGCAGGUUGCUCUUCCACAACUACUUGUGUUUCCUGCUCUAAUUCCUCCACAGGUGUAUCAAUGCUUUAUGAUUCUUGAAUUUCUUCAAGCUCUACUUUCCUCCCACUGAUUCCUUUGGAAAUAAAAUCCUUUUUUAGGAAAACUCCAGUUCGAGCGGCAAACACUUUGCCCUCAGAAGGAUUGUAGAAGUAAUACCCUCUUGUUUCUUUAGGAUACCACACAAAUAAGCAUUUGUCAGAUUUGGGCUAAAGCUUAGUUGAAAUUUGUCGUUUCACAUAAACUUUGCAACCCCAAAUCUUCAUGUAAGACAUAUGUAGUUUCAUACCACUCCAGAUCUCAUAUGGUGUCUUCUCAACCUUUUUGGAUGGAACACGGUUAAGUGUGUAAGCUGCUGUCAAUAGUGCAUGUCCCCAAAAGGAGUUUGGAAGAUCGGCGUGACUCAUCAUGGAUCGGACCAUCGUCUACAACCCAAGGGUUCGACUUUCUUUCUCUCAAUCACACCAUUCCAUUGUGGUAGUUCCAGGAGGGAGUUAAGUCUAGAAUGGAAUCCCCCCACACCUCUUUCAGAUGGUCAUCAAACUCUAGGCUUAAAUACUCACCACCUCGAUCUGAUCGAAGAGUUUUAAUAUUCUUACCUAGUUGGUUUUGUACUUCACUCUUGAAUUCCUUGAACUUUUCAAAGGACUUUGAUUUAUGUUUCAUUAAAUACACAUAACCAUAUCUACUGAAAUCAUCAGUGAAUAUGAUGAAGUAUUGAAAACCUCCUCUGGCUGGUAUGUUCAGUGGUCGACACACAUCAGUAUGUAUGAGGGCCAAAAAUCAUUCGCUCUUUCACCUUUUCCUGUGAAUGGAGACUUUGUCAUCUUUCCAAUUAAACAAGAUCUGUAUAUUCCAUAUGAUUCAUAAUCAAAAGAGUCGAAGAGUCCAUCUUUAUGGAGUUUGGAAAUGUGUUUCUCAUUUAUGUGGCCUAAUCAACAAUGCCAAAGGUAAGUUGGAUUUAACUCAUUAGGUUUCAUCCUUUUAGUAUUAAUGUUAUAAAUAAGCAUUUCAAGAUCAAGGACAUAUAGUCCAUUGUUCAUUUGUGCAGUAGCAUAGAAUAAAUCACUCAAAUAAAUUGAGCAACAAUUGUUCUCUAUUAUAAAUGAAAAACCAAACUUAUCCAAACAAGAAACGGAAAUAAUAUUCCUGCUAAUUGCAGGUACAUAAUAACAGUUCUCUAACUGAAUUAUUAAACCACUAGGUAAAGUCAAUACAUAAGUUCCUACGGCUAAAGCAGCAACCUUUGCUCCAUUGCCAACUCGUAGGUCAACUUCACCUUUUGCCAAAUCUCUACUCCUUUUUAGUCCCUGCACAUUUGUACAAAUGUGAGAACCGCAUCCAGUAUCUAAUACCCAUGAUGCAGAAGUAGAUAAAUUAAUUUCAAUAACAAAAAUACCUGAAGUUGAAGUCUCUACUCCAUUCUUCUUAUCUUCCAGGUACUUUGGGCAGUUUCUCUUCCAGUGUCCGGUCUUACCGCAAUGGAAGCAGGUGCCUUCUUUUGCUAUGCCUCCACUAGGCUUCAAAGCAGCAACAGUGGGUUUGGGUUUGGCAACUUCCUUGCCUUUCCCUUUAUCACCCUGCUUGGUGGGCCUUUUGUUCUGUCUCUUUCCAUUUCCGAUCAUCAGAAUGGACUUCCCUUUUGACUUCAGAUUCUGCUCGGCAGUUCUUAACAUGGCUAGCAGUUCAGGAAGAGAUUUGUCCAUAUCAUUCAUAUUGAAAUUUAGGACAAAUUGACUGAAUCUAUCUGGCAACGAUUGCAAGAUCAAAUCAGUCGCAAGUUCCUUUCCGAGGGGAAAACCCAACCUCUCAAGGUUUUCCACAUACCCAAUCAUCUUGAGCACAUGGGGACCUACAGGGGCUCCCUCAGCUAACUUGCCUUGAAAAAGGGCUUUUGAAACUUCAAACCUUUCAUGCCUUGCUUGCUCUUGAUAGAGCAUCUUCAGGUGUUCGAUCAUAUCGAACGCUGCCAUGUUCUCAUGUUGCUUUUGCAACUCUGAGUUCAUGGUAGCUAGCAUGAGACAAGCAGUUUCAUUGGCAUCAUCGACAUGCUUCUUAUAAGCAUCUCUUUCUGCCUUAGGUGCAGAACUAGGAGGUUCCUCUUCAGGAACAGGUUUCUCCAAGACAUACAACUUUCUAUCAUGUUUGAGGAUAAUCCUCAGAUUUCGGUGCCAAUCCAGAAAAUUUAUCCCAGACAAUUUUUCCUUGUCAAGGAUUGAUUGCAAAAUGUUGUUAGAGGUGUUUGUUGUCAUGGUAAUCUACAUGAAAUUAAUGAAAAUAUAAGUAUCAAUGACAUAUUUAAUUAGGCCUUUAAUUAAAUAUGCUCCCACUAUUUUACUCAAAACAAAUGACCCUCACCAUUUGAUUCGGAAAAUCCUGUUGGAAGAUUUUCUAGUGGGUCGAGAUCCACAUUUC